CUGACUGGCCCGUAUGGAGGUUCUAGACCAUGUUAGUGUUCAGGUCUCCAUGGAUGGAAACCUUCAGGCAGGCCAAGCAG
ensembl:miRNA